GUAGGGGCAAGCGUUAUCCGGAUUUACUGGGCGUAAAGAGCGCGUAGGCGGCUUCUUAAGUUGGCAGUGAAAGAUUCCGGCUCAACUGGGAUAAAGCCUGUCAAUACUGGGAGGCUUAGGGCACCAGAGGAAAAGUGAACUCGCGGUGUAGCGGUGAAAUGUGCAGAUAUCGCGAGGAGCACCAGUGGCGAAGGCGGCUUUCUGGGGUAUUCCUGACGCUGAGGCGCGAAAGCGUGGGGAGCGAAGCGGAUUAGAUACCCGCGUAGUCCACGCCCUAAACGGUGGAUACUUGGUAUGGGGGGUAUCGACCCCUUCCGUGCCGAAGCUAACGCUUUAAGUAUCCCGCCUGGGGAGUACGGCCGCAAGGUUG
rnacentral:rRNA from 1 species